rnacentral:rRNA from 1 species
AGCAUAAUAAUUUGUCCAUUAAUUGUGGGCUAGAAUGAAGGGGGUCACAAAAUAAGAACUGUGUCUAAUAUAUAAAUAUAAACUAUAUUAAAAGUGAAGAUACUUUUAUUACAUUAAAGGACAAGAAGACCCUAUAGAACUUAAUCAUACUCAUUAUUCUUUAUUAUAAAUUGAUUCGGUUGGGGCGACCAGGGAAAACCCAUCCCAAGCUUUUUAAGAUACAUAUAUCUUUCAAUUUAUCCAUCCUAUGAAUUAUAAAUCAAGCUACCUUAGGGAUAACAGGCUAAUCCUUCUCUAGAGUCCUUAUCAACAGAAGGGAUUGG